UCGCGAUAUCACGACUUCUCGCCUGUCCCGGCUAACCCCGGAGAGCAGCCCCCGGCGGGACUGCUGGUGGUGACAUUCCCUGGUGGCGACUUUCUUGGCUAGUGUUUGGGACGAGAGCUCUUCGCCUGGCACGUUUUCUAGCAGCAUGGACCGGGCUGUUAAGGCGCAGUUAAGUCCAUCAGGCCCGAGUGGGAAUCCAAGAAGAAACCCAGUGGGGUUGCCUCCCAGGUGGUCAGGGCUACUCCCCAAUGCCACCCACCUCAACAUCAUGGCUAGCCUGUCUACAUGCUCACUGGCCCGUGGAUUCCUAUGCCCAUGGACUCCUGGCACACCUCUCCCUUUCUGAGAUCCUGCCAGCAUAUAUCAGCUCACCAGGACUUGACUGGAACACGUCCUUCCCCCCACAACGUGGUGUCCAGCCCCUGCCCCACCCCACCACUCACUCCUCUCUGGAGGCAGCAGGCUCUGCAGUAUUCCUGCUCCUACCUCAUUAUCCCAGCCCUGAUCCUGUAUCUCUCCAGUCUCUCCUCCCCCUGGCUCUGUGCUCCUUAAGCCUGGAAGGCACCGGAGGGUGAGGUCAAAGCUAAUACGCAGUGGACACUGCUGGGGGUGGGAGUGCUCCCCACUCAGUCCUCUCUUCCUCACCCCCUACCUCUUUUCUCCUCCUCCCUGGGAUGGGAGGGAGCAAGGGGGCGGGGAACCCAGCCCCCACAGCUCCCUCCUGGGUGAACAAGAGGAAAGGAAUGAGGCAGGUGUGUCGGCUGCUCCCGCUUACCCCUCCUCCCCGGGGGACUCUAACCCGCCUGCCUGUGGGGCUGUCUUUUGGGGGUUGGGGAGAGAAACUCUGUCCUCCCCAGAAGCAGCGGAGCUGAGCAUGUUGAAGGCCUGGCUGUCGUAGGCAUGUCCAGGAGCUGCCGGGAUGCAGGCAGUUGGAGGAGAGGAAGCUGAAGGCAAGCUAGUUGGGGCAAAACUCCCAACAGGGAUACACCACCAUGAGAGCGUCCUUUCCUUCUCACCCCUACCCUGAGGUAGGGAGACAUGGGCUAAGGAAAUAUGGGGGUUCGUGUAGGCUGGCAAUCGGGAAAAGGAACAAGACUUCAUCCUUGUCUGGUUCAUCCAGAAGGGUGCCAUUCUGGGUAAAAUGAGGCAGGAAGCAGGAUCCUCAACUUGGAGCAGCAGGAGGUCUGGAUGAAGUAGGUGAAGUGUUCUUUCUCUGAGAUCCCGACCACUCUACCUCCCUCUCUACCACCCUCCUCCUUGAGGGUUUGGGACAAAGGAGGCCGAGGAAGGAUGUCCCUUCGCCUCUGGCCUUACUUACAUACUCCAUCUCCCCUGCAUGCACUCAGAGAGACCAGCAUCCAGACAGUGAGUCUCCUAGCCCUCCCCCACCACCCUCCUCCCUGCCGCACCUUCUAGCCCCACCUGCUCCCUGGGGCGCUGGGCUGGCUGGGUUGAGCUGGGUCUUGCCCAGGAUUACUCCUCGCAGAGUGUCUGUCUCUGCCGAAGGGUGCUGCUGGGCACCGCCACUCGUCCUGGCUUGUGGCAGAGGGCUCAGGCACAAGGUGGACAGCUAGAGCUCCGGAAUUAAGAGCUCCGGUUCCAGCUUCUUGUCAACAUCCCCCUUAGCCUCCAUUCAGGCAGGUUCCGUCUGGUUUGGAAGAUGGCUGUAGUUUCCUAACUGGCCCCUUGUUGUUAACUCUUCCCCUCUUCAUUCAGUUCCCCAGUACAGUGAGCCAUGUGGGAAUCAGACCAUGACACUCACCUGUUCAAGACCCUCUGAAAGUUUCUCAUUCCUCGGAAAAUCCCAACUCCUUACGAUGGCCCAGAGGGACAUGUGAUGUGACUCUUGCCUGCCCUCCGAGCUCCUCUCCUGCUAACCUGCCCUUGAUUGCUCCAUCCGAUCACACUGGCCUGUUGGCUGUUCCUCCUGAGGAGAUCUCUCUCACCACCGACCUUUGGCAUUCACAUGGCCUCGGCCUGGAAAGCCCUUUCCCUCAAUCUGUGCGGGGCUAUCUUGGGCACACAGGUCUCAGCAUGAGUAACAUAACUCAGAGAGGCCUUCCCAGACCAAUGACUUUAUCUAAAGAGGCCACACUCCUACCUAUGUGUCUUAUUCAUCAAUACCUUGUGCCUUGUUCAUCAAUAAAUGAAUCGAUGAAAAAGAUGUGGGGUGUGAGUGUGUGUAUACAUGCAGCCAUAACAAAGGAGGAGAUCUUGCCAUGUGCAACCAUAUGGAUGGACCUUGUGGGUAUUAUGCUAAGUGUAAUAAGUCUGACUAGUAAAGACAAAUACCCCAUGAGUUCACUCUUAUGUGGACUCUAAAACACAAAACGAAUGAACAAACAAAAAGCAGGAUCAGACCUAUAAACACAGAGAACAAACUGAUGGUUGCCUGAGGGGAGGUGGGUGAGGGGAUGAACAAAAUGGGUGAAGGGGAGUGGGAGAUAAUGGGCUUCCAGUUAUGGAAUGAAUUAGUCACAGCACUACAAGGCACGGCAUAGGGAAUAGAGUCAAUGGUAUUGUAAUAGCAUUAUAUGGUGACAGAUGUAUAGAGAUGUUGAAUCGCUACGUUGUACACCUGAAACGAACGUAACAUUGCGUGUCAACUGUACUCAAAUAAAAACAGGCUUUUAAAAUGCAAACAUAAAAAAUAAACACUAAAGGGACCCCACUCCCCACACAUCACUCUACAUCCAGCACCGUGCUUUAUUUGCUUCGUGGUACAGAGCAUUGUCUGAGAUGACCUGGUUUGUAUAUUUACUUGUUUAUUGUCUCUCUCUCCCAACCAGAAUGUAAACUCCAAGAGGCCGGUGCUGUGUCUCUCUUAUUCACAUCUGUCUCCCCAGCACCCAUCGUCCCCUGCAGAGUGCCAGGCCACAAAGAAUGCAAAAUAAAUAUUUGUUAAAUGAAUGAUGAGGGAC